rnacentral:rRNA from 1 species
CUUCCAGACUCCUACGGGAGGCAGCAGUGGGGAAUAUUGCACAAUGGGCGCAAGCCUGAUGCAGCCAUGCCGCGUGUAUGAAGAAGGCCUUCGGGUUGUAAAGUACUUUCAGUCGGGAGGAAGGUGUCAAGGUUAAUAACCUUGGCAAUUGACGUUACCGACAGAAGAAGCACCGGCUAACUCCGUGCCAGCAGCCGCGGUAAUACGGAGGGUGCAAGCGUUAAUCGGAAUUACUGGGCGUAAAGCGCACGCAGGCGGUCUGUCAAGUCGGAUGUGAAAUCCCCGGGCGCAACCUGGGAACUGCAUUCGAAACUGGCAGGCUGGAGUCUUGUAGAGGGGGGUAGAAUUCCAGGUGUAGCGGUGAAAUGCGUAGAGAUCUGGAGGAAUACCGGUGGCGAAGGCGGCCCCCUGGACAAAGACUGACGCUCAGGUGCGAAAGCGUGGGGAGCAAACAGGAGUAGAUACCCUAGUAAAA